UAUUCUGAUUGUGCAAAGGUAGCAUAAUAAUUAGUUUUUUAAUUGGGAACUGGUAUGAAAGGUUGGACGAGAAAAAAUCUGUCUCAAUUUAAUUUUUAAUAGAAUUUUAUUUUUAAGUAAAAAAGCUUAAAUAAUUUUAAAAGACGAGAAGACCCUAUAGAGUUUUAUAUUAAUUUUAAUAUUAGUAAUUUUUAGAAUUUUUUUAGUUAAUUUUAAAAUUAGUAUUUGGUUGGGGUGAUUAAAAAAUUAAAAUAACUUUUUUUAAAAAAAAACAUUAAUUUAUGUUUAAUUGAUCC
rnacentral:rRNA from 1 species